rnacentral:rRNA from 1 species
GAUGAACGCUAGCUACAGGCUUAACACAUGCAAGUCGAGGGGCAGCAUUACCUUAGCUUGCUAAGGCUGAUGGCGACCGGCGUAAGGGUGCGUAACGCGUAUGUAACUUGCCUUUGAGAGGGGGAUAACCCGGAGAAAUCCGGCCUAAUACCGCGUAUUCUCAAGUUGCUGCAUGGCAGUUUGAGGAAAGAUUUAUUGCUCAGAGAUAGGCAUGCGUUCCAUUAGGUAGUUGGUGAGGUAACGGCUCACCAAGCCGACGAUGGAUAGGGGAGCUGAGAGGCUGACCCCCCACACUGGGACUGAGACACGGCCCAG